GUGCCAGCCGCCGCGGUAAUACAGAGGUGGCAAGCGUUGUUCGGAUUUACUGGGCGUAAAGGGUGCGUAGGCGGUCUUGUGUGUCGGAUGUGAAAUCCCACGGAUCAUCCGUGGAACUGCAUUCGAAACUGCAGGGCUUGAGUACAGGAGAGGAAGGUGGAAUUCUCGGUGUAGCGGUGAAAUGCGUUGAUAUCGAGAGGAACGCCGGAGGCGAAGGCGACCUUCUGGACUGUAACUGACGCUGAGGCACGAAAGCUAGGGGAGCAAACAGGAUUAGAAACCCUCGUAGUCC
rnacentral:rRNA from 1 species